AUUGAACGCUGGCGGCAUGCUUUACACAUGCAAGUCGAACGGCAGCGCGGGCUUCGGCCUGGCGGCGAGUGGCGGACGGGUGAGUAAUGCAUCGGAACGUGCCCAGUAGUGGGGGAUAGCCCGGCGAAAGCCGGAUUAAUACCGCAUACGACCUGAGGGUGAAAGCGGGGGACCGAAAGGCCUCGCGCUAUUGGAGCGGCCGAUGUCGGAUUAGCUAGUUGGUGGGGUAAAGGCUUACCAAGGCGACGAUCCGUAGCUGGUCUGAGAGGACGACCAGCCACACUGGGACUGAGACACGGCCCAGACUCCUACGGGAGGCAGCAGUGGGGAAUUUUGGACAAAGGGGGCAACCCUGAUCCAGCCAUGCCGCGUGCGGGAAGAAGGCCUUCGGGUUGUAAACCGCUUUUGUUCGGGAAGAAAUCCUCUGGGCUAAUACCCCGGGGGGAUGACGGUACCGGAAGAAUAAGCACCGGCUAACUACGUG
rnacentral:rRNA from 1 species